rnacentral:rRNA from 1 species
UACAGAGGGGGCAAGCGUUGUUCGGAAUUACUGGGCGUAAAGGGCGCGUAGGCGGGUGCUCAAGUCCGUGGUGAAAUCCUCCGGCUCAACCGGAGAACUGCCUCGGAUACUGGGCGUCUCGAGUGUGGUAGGGGUAUGCGGAACUAUCGGUGGAGCGGUGAAAUGCGUUGAUAUCGAUAGGAACUCCGGUGGCGAAGGCGGCAUACUGGACCACCACUGACGCUGAUGCGCGAAAGCCAGGGGAGCAAACGGG